UUCGAGUCAUGGAGAAGUCACCGAGGAAGCAUCUUACAGUAUCCACGUCAGACUAAACACGUGUCGAUCAAGCCUCGCCUUGGAGGCUUAAACUAAAAAAAAAAAAAAAGACAAAACAAGAUACUUUGUCAGUUUCAGAGUACUUAAAGAAGAAGAAGAUGCGCGUGUUAUACACUCUCUCACGGGGGGGGGGGGGGGGGCUUACGUAGACGGCAUUAAAUUUUUAAUCACAGCUGGAUGCGAUGGAGUUAGUGUGGUGCAGAUGCGAUGCAACAUUAACAAAUUUUUUUUUAAAAACAAUUAUCGAUUUUAUUCACUUCCACGCGAGUCUUUUUUGACGUGUGUGUCACGCUCUGGUUUUCGUUUGUUCUUUUUGGGUUAACUUUGGAUUUUGUUGUUGUGCAUGAUGACUUCUUUCUGAUCAAGAACAGGAACUUGAUUGAAAAAACUAACGUAUUUGAUAAUCACUAGAUAGCUAGAGAUAGAUAUCUAAUGAGUGAUUUU